rnacentral:lncRNA from 1 species
UUCAUAUUCAAUAAUUCAAGUUGGCAUAUAAGAUACAUAACUUAUCUGAUCAUGUUUGCAAAAACGUAAGAAAUUAAAGUAUCUUGGUUUUAUCUCAUGAGUCGAUCCAGAAUUGAAUAGAAAAUUUCUGGUAAAUCAUUGAUUCAUCUAGUGUCUAAAUAUAUGAUGAUUCAUUUAGAAAUUUACUAGAUUGAAACUUUAUGACAUUUUAAAAAAAUUAAAAAUUCAAUGUUACAUUCAGUAA